CAAGUACUCCCUCCGCCCGGAAUUACUUGUCAUCAAAAUGGAUGUGUCUAGAACUAAAAUACAUCUAGAUACAUCCAUUUCAAUGACAAGUAUUUCCGAACGGAGGGAGUACAAG
rnacentral:pre_miRNA from 1 species